CUGGCUUCCCGUCUAUAAACCUAGAUAACACGAAACGUAAUUAAUAAUUUAAAAAACAAUCUAAUUUUGAAACAUCAAUAAGUUUAUUUAGUUGAAUAAUAAUUAUAUUAUUAAUAUAUAAUGCAUAACAAGUAUAUUAUCUAUAAAUAUCUAAUAAUAAUAUGUAAGUAUAUUGUUAAAAUAUGUCAUAAUUCAUUAAAAAAAAAAAAAAGAAAAAACAAGGAAUUUUAAUAAAAUAACAGUAACGAUGCAUAAUAAUAAAACUCGAUAAUAAUAAUAUUAUUAUUAUUAUUGUUGUACUUCCACAAAUUUUUGUUUUUUUUUUUUUUUCUUUCUUUUAAAUCGCAUAUUUUCGAGAUAACGCGACUUUUGUAUAAUUUAAUAAUAUAAUAAUAAAUUAUGCGAAAUAGUUUUUGAAAACGUUUUUACAAACGAUUUAAACUUAUGUUUAUAAUAAUAUUUGUAUAGCACUUGGUAGUGUACAUUUUUUUUUUUUCGUUUUAAAAUAUAAUAGAAUUAAAACAGAGGUAUUAAAUAGCCGUAUAGGUACAUACAAAUGCAUAUAGUUAAUGCACAUAAUACAUAUUAUAUGGUACGAUGAAAUGACAGUAAUAUUAUAUACGAGUAAUACACAAACAAACGAAAACACACACGGGUAGUGGCAUAAUAAUAGAGGACUCGUGGCUUAAUUAUAAUUCCGUUAUAAAAUUGCGUGUAUUUUUUUUUAAAUUUUUUUUUUCGAAAAUCGAUUAAGUAUAUAGGUAAGUAUAAUAGAUGAUAAUAUUACCGUAACAGGUAUAAUAUAUAGGUGUAAUUAAUAAUAAUAAUAAUUAAUAAACGAAAGGCCAAUAAUUGUUAUCGAAAACGGAUUCGAGACCGGACUGAGGGCGUCCCGCGGUGACGGGCCGAACUCGAAAUACGGCCGGGCCGGGCCGACAAAACACGUUUGGACGACUAGACCGGACACUUAAUUUCAGCGUUCGCGGGUCCCGUGCGGCAGCACCACUCAGUCCGGGCUUGUGUGUUCGUGUAUAAUGCAUAUAAUUAUGUUUAAAUAGUAAAUAAUUCAUAAAAAAUGUAUCUAUUAGUAGGUAUGAGUGGGUAUACAGGUAGAGGCGGUUGUACAUUGAUAAAACAAAAAAAAAAAAAAACAAACCGACAACUAAUCAAACGUACAUUAUGUAAUGUUUUAAUAUUAUAGAACUAUAGACGUUAAGUCGGACGAAUUUUUUAAUCAAUAUAGUAUAUAGUUAACAACGAUACUAUGACGCGUUAUUAUAAUAAUAUAGGGAACAGCGGGAUUAUAAUAAUAAUAAUAAUAAUAAUAGUAAUAAUAAUAAUAAUAAUAAUAAUAAUAAUAACAAUAAUAAUAAUAAUAAUAAUAAUAAUAAGAAUAAGAAUAAUAAUAAUAAGGGGAAAAAACCGGAAUGUUCACGUUAUAGACAAUAAAAUAUUAUACGCCUAGUAUUAUUAAUAAUAUUAUAGUAUAUUGUAUUACGAUAAUAAAGCCAAUAAUUUUUUAUUUUUUUUUUUUGUUUAAUAUAAAUAUAAUAAUAAGUUAACAAUACUCGCAUAAUGAUAAUGUAAUAAGAGAUUUUUUUUUAAUAAAUAACGUCCAACGAAACAAUACGUAGAUAAUAUAUAAUAAUAAAGUAUUUCUAAUAUUACAAUAAACGCUACGGUAGGUAAUAGUUAAUAUUUUUGUAGGAAUUAAAUUGCCCGUAAAAAAAAAAACAAAAAAAAAAAAUAUUAAAUUGUUAAUAUCGUAUUAAUAUAAAUUAUUCGAGACGGUGAUAAUAUUAUAUUGUUAUCAUUAUUACUCGGUGGAAUAUCGAUAGAAAGUUACUCGCCCGAAAAAAUUGUCAAUAUACAUACCUAUACAUAAUAUUAUAUAGUUAUACGCAUGCGGAGGGUAAACCACUGAUCGAGUGUUAAUGUGGUGAGCACCGCAUUCCAGAUAAUUAUUAAGAAUUUUCCCUAUAAGAUUUCCCGCGAAAUCAUACCAAAGGCUUCCACGGUUACCGGACGUUCGUAUGAGCCAAGGUAGUUCCAAGUGUUCCCAUUUGGUGAUACACCCUAGUUCACACUGUGAAUAGAUAUACGUAAAUAACACUAUUCGGUGUUAAAAUUCGGAGAUAUAUGAGAUUUUUUAUCACGAAUUAUUUAAUACAUCCAUCUAUAAAAUUCUGCAUAAGUUUCCGUGUGGUUUUCGAAACUCUAACCGUCUUGAACCAUUCGUUAGUAAUAUUUACGAGGACGGGAAUCUACGAAUUAGGUUCGGAAAUCCGUUUCACACACUUUAUCGAAACCCCCCCCAAUUUUACCACCAUCUAGAAGAAGAUUAGUGGCAUAGCUAAUCGUACAAAAAGGUUAUAUUGAAUAAAUAAAAAAUUAAUAAAACGCGAUAAUUAAAUGUUGUUGUUAUUAAAUGUUAAUAAGAAAACCAAUGGUUUAAAAAUGUCAAUAAUAUCCACGCACGGCUACGCAUUAAAAUAUUACUAAUUUACUAUAUAGACGAGACGACGACUUUUUUCCAGUGGAUACGGCAGAUACGUGAGACGCUACCCACGACGUUCGAGAUUUUUUAACACGUAAUUUUAUACGUCCUUCUACAAUUUUGCAUAUUCAUUCCCGUGUAGUUUUCGAACAUCUACUAGUCAUCAGCCAUUCGUUAGUAUCAAUUUUCCUCUCCGAAUCCUAUUCGGAAAUCCGAUUCAAUGCAAAUCUCUUUAUCCCCCCCCUUUGCCCCACUCGAACAGGUCGCGAAGCAACGCCGCCGCACGCCGGUAAAAUAUCCAUACGAACAUAUAUCCACGGGCGAAGAUUCCGCGCGGAGGAAUAGGAAGGGUUGAAAUAUUAUUAGUAAACUGUUUUCAGGAGAAGGCCGAUGUCUCCCCCGCACGGGCGCCCGCGGACAUAUUUUUUUUGUUCGAGAUGUCAGUGCUUGAAUUGGAAUUGAAAAAAAAAUGCACCUUUCGGGUUGGACUAAGUAAAUUUUAUGUGUUUGAUUUUCUAAAGGGGGUUUUUUUUUUCUCAAAAAUAUCAUCUAAUUUGCUACUUUAUCGUCGUCGUCGUCAUCGUAACAUAUAACACGGCGNUAUGUGUAUGAUCGUUUCUACAAAAAUAUAUGUAUAUUGAAAAUAAAUUAAAUUUUUAAAAAAUUGCAAACGAGCACAUCACAUGUUACGAAAAAUCGAUAUUGUUUAGGUACAUACGAUAAAUUUACGAAUAUCGUAUGGAUUUGAAAACGAAAAUUUCCUUUCCGAAAAAAUUAGUUGCGUUUUGAUAUUAAAAUAAUGUUCUUCCGAGAUCGAAAAAUAUACGCGACGCGAAACAUGAGAAUACUCCUGACUCGACGAAAAAGUCUUCCACUUUGCCAUUUCUUAUCCGAUCCAUUUUGACGCGACUUUUUUAUUCAUUUACAAAAAGUAACACGCCAUCCGAGAUCUUUCUCGUCGGAGCCGGCCAUGUUGUUAUAGUAGGCGUUUAUUGUCAUAUUUCGACGGCUACGCAUUAAAAUAUUACUAAUUUACUAUAUGGACGAGACGACGACUUUUUUCCAGUGGAUACGGCAGAUACGUGAGACGCUACCCACGACGUUCGAGAUUUUUUAACACGUAAUUUUAUACGUCCUUCUACAAUUUUGCAUAUUCAUUCCCGUGUAGUUUUCGAACAUCUACUAGUCAUCAGCCAUUCGUUAGUAUCAAUUUUCCUCUCCGAAUCCUAUUCGGAAAUCCGAUUCAAUGCAAAUCUCUUUAUCCCCCCCCUUUGCCCCACUCGAACAGGUCGCGAAGCAACGCCGCCGCACGCCGGUAAAAUAUCCAUACGAACAUAUAUCCACGGGCGAAGAUUCCGCGCGGAGGAAUAGGAAGGGUUGAAAUAUUAUUAGUAAACUGUUUUCAGGAGAAGGCCGAUGUCUCCCCCGCACGGGCGCCCGCGGACAUAUUUUUUUUGUUCGAGAUGUCAGUGCUUGAAUUGGAAUUGAAAAAAAAAUGCACCUUUCGGGUUGGACUAAGUAAAUUUUAUGUGUUUGAUUUUCUAAAGGGGGUUUUUUUUUUCUCAAAAAUAUCAUCUAAUUUGCUACUUUAUCGUCGUCGUCGUAGUCGUAAACAUAAAAUCCGGCUAUGCAUUCAGUUUUAUGGUUUUGAUGUAUGCGUACAUGCAUGUACGUGUAUGUGUGUAAGUAUGUGUAUGAUCGUUUCUACAAAAAUAUAUGUAUAUUGAAAAUAAAUUAAAUUUUUAAAAAAUUGCAAACGAGCACAUCACAUGUUACGAAAAAUCGAUAUUGUUUAGGUACAUACGAUAAAUUUACGAAUAUCGUAUGGAUUUGAAAACGAAAAUUUCCUUUCCGAAAAAAUUAGUUGCGUUUUGAUAUUAAAAUAAUGUUCUUCCGAGAUCGAAAAAUAUACGCGACGCGAAACAUGAGAAUACUCCUGACUCGACGAAAAAGUCUUCCACUUUGCCAUUUCUUAUCCGAUCCAUUUUGACGCGACUUUUUUAUUCAUUUACAAAAAGUAACACGCCAUCCGAGAUCUUUCUCGUCGGAGCCGGCCAUGUUGUUAUAGUAGGCGUUUAUUGUCAUAUUUCGACGGCUACGCAUUAAAAUAUUACUAAUUUACUAUAUGGACGAGACGACGACUUUUUUCCAGUGGAUACGGCAGAUACGUGAGACGCUACCCACGACGUUCGAGAUUUUUUAACACGUAAUUUUAUACGUCCUUCUACAAUUUUGCAUAUUCAUUCCCGUGUAGUUUUCGAACAUCUACUAGUCAUCAGCCAUUCGUUAGUAUCAAUUUUCCUCUCCGAAUCCUAUUCGGAAAUCCGAUUCAAUGCAAAUCUCUUUAUCCCCCCCCUUUGCCCCACUCGAACAGGUCGCGAAGCAACCCCGCCGCACGCCGGUAAAAUAUCCAUACGAACAUAUAUCCACGGGCGAAGAUUCCGCGCGGAGGAAUAGGAAGGGUUGAAAUAUUAUUAGUAAACUGUUUUCAGGAGAAGGCCGAUGUCUCCCCCGCACGGGCGCCCGCGGACAUAUUUUUUUUGUUCGAGAUGUCAGUGCUUGAAUUGGAAUUGAAAAAAAAAUGCACCUUUCGGGUUGGACUAAGUAAAUUUUAUGUGUUUGAUUUUCUAAAGGGGGUUUUUUUUUUCUCAAAAAUAUCAUCUAAUUUGCUACUUUAUCGUCGUCGUCGUAGUCGUAAACAUAAAAUCCGGCUAUGCAUUCAGUUUUAUGGUUUUGAUGUAUGCGUACAUGCAUGUACGUGUAUGUGUGUAAGUAUGUGUACGAUCGUUUCUACAAAAAUAUAUGUAUAUUGAAAAUAAAUUAAAUUUUUAAAAAAUUGCAAACGAGCACAUCACAUGUUACGAAAAAUCGAUAUUGUUUAGGUACAUACGAUAAAUUUACGAAUAUCGUAUGGAUUUGAAAACGAAAAUUUCCUUUCCGAAAAAAUUAGUUGCGUUUUGAUAUUAAAAUAAUGUUCUUCCGAGAUCGAAAAAUAUACGCGACGCGAACAUGAGACUACUCCUGACUCGACGAAAAAGUCUUCCACUUUGCCAUUUCUUAUCCGAUCCAUUUUGACGCGACUUUUUUAUUCAUUUACAAAAAGUAACACGCCAUCCGAGAUCUUUCUCGUCGGAGCCGGCCAUGUUGUUAUAGUAGGCGUUUAUUGUCAUAUUUCGACGGCUACGCAUUAAAAUAUUACUAAUUUACUAUAUAGACGAGACGACGACUUUUUUCCAGUGGAUACGGCAGAUACGUGAGACGCUACCCACGACGUUCGAGAUUUUUUAACACGUAAUUUUAUACGUCCUUCUACAAUUUUGCAUAUUCAUUCCCGUGUAGUUUUCGAACAUCUACUAGUCAUCAGCCAUUCGUUAGUAUCAAUUUUCCUCUCCGAAUCCUAUUCGGAAAUCCGAUUCAAUGCAAAUCUCUUUAUCCCCCCCCUUUGCCCCACUCGAACAGGUCGCGAAGCAACGCCGCCGCACGCCGGUAAAAUAUCCAUACGAACAUAUAUCCACGGGCGAAGAUUCCGCGCGGAGGAAUAGGAAGGGUUGAAAUAUUAUUAGUAAACUGUUUUCAGGAGAAGGCCGAUGUCUCCCCCGCACGGGCGCCCGCGGACAUAUUUUUUUUGUUCGAGAUGUCAGUGCUUGAAUUGGAAUUGAAAAAAAAAUGCACCUUUCGGGUUGGACUAAGUAAAUUUUAUGUGUUUGAUUUUCUAAAGGGGGUUUUUUUUUUCUCAAAAAUAUCAUCUAAUUUGCUACUUUAUCGUCGUCGUCGUAGUCGUAAACAUAAAAUCCGGCUAUGCAUUCAGUUUUAUGGUUUUGAUGUAUGCGUACAUGCAUGUACGUGUAUGUGUGUAAGUAUGUGUACGAUCGUUUCUACAAAAAUAUAUGUAUAUUGAAAAUAAAUUAUAUUUUCGAAUUAAUGAAAUUAAUUCCUAUCUAUCAUUUAUCAUUUACUAAUCGUAAUGGUUUAGCGGCUUGGUAAUGUGUAUC